rnacentral:rRNA from 1 species
GAUCAUGGCUCAGAUGACGCGGUGGCGUGCCUAAUGCAUGCAAUCGACGAUUCCUUGCCUUCGGUGAUUCCUACUGGGAACGCUGAUAACACGUUGGUGACUGCCUGAUGAGGGGUCAACCCCGUAAACUGGGAUAAUACCUCAUGUGAUCCAGAGAGUAGAGUCUUGGACGAAUUGAGCAAUCCGCUUAGGAGGGCCUGCGUCUAUCAGCUAGUUGUAGGGAACGGCCACCAAGGGACGACGGUAGGGGGCUGAGAGGGUGUUCCCCCACACUGGAAGUGAAACACGGACCAGACACCUACGGGUGCAGCAGUAGGGAAUAUUGCCCAAUGGACGAAAGUAGAGGCAGCAACGCCGCGUGCGCGAUGAAGGCCUUCGGGUCGUAAAGCUCUUUUCUGGGGGACGAGAUAGGACGGUACCCCAGGAAUAAGUCUCGGCUAACUACGUGCCAGCAGCCGCGGUAAAACGUAGGAGGCAAGCGUUAUCCGGAUUUACUGGGCGUAAAGCGCGUGCAGGCGGUCUGGUAAGUCGGACGUGAAAUCUCCUGGCUCAACUAGGAGAGGCCGUUCGAUACUGCCGGACUGGAGGGCAGCAGAGGGAGGUGGAAUUCCGGGUGUAGCGGUGAAAUGCGUAGAUAUCCGGAGGAACACCAGUGGCGAAAGCGGCCUCCUGGACUGUCCCUGACGCUAAGACGCGAAAGCUAGGGGAGUGAACGGGAUUAGAAACCCCGGUAAUCCUAGCUGUAAACGAUGCAGACUUGGUGUUGGUGGUCUAAACCCCAUCAGUGCCGUAGCAAACGCGAUAAGU